AGCGAACGCUGGCGGCAGGCCUAACACAUGCAAGUCGAACGAAGCCUUCGGGCUUAGUGGCGGACGGGUGAGUAACACGUGGGAACGUACCUUUUGGUUCGGAACAACUCAGGGAAACUUGAGCUAAUACCGGAUGAGCCCUUAGGGGGAAAGAUUUAUCGCCGAAAGAGCGGCCCGCGUUAGAUUAGCUAGUUGGUGAGGUAAAGGCUCACCAAGGCAACGAUCUAUAGCUGGUCUGAGAGGAUGAUCAGCCACACUGGGACUGAGACACGGCCCAGACUCCUACGGGAGGCAGCAGUGGGGAAUCUUGCGCAAUGGGCGAAAGCCUGACGCAGCCAUGCCGCGUGAAUGAUGAAGGUCUUAGGAUUGUAAAAUUCUUUUACCAGGGACGAUAAUGACGGUACCUGGAGAAAAAGCCCCGGCUAACUUCGUGCCAGCAGCCGCCGCAG
rnacentral:rRNA from 1 species